rnacentral:rRNA from 1 species
GAUGAGCGCUAGCUACAGGCUUAACACAUGCAAGUCGAGGGGCAGCAUGAACUUAGCUUGCUAAGUUUGAUGGCGACCGGCGCACGGGUGAGUAACACGUAUCCAACCUCCCGCUUACUCAGGAAUAGCCUUUCGAAAGAAAGAUUAAUGCCUGAUGGUAUCUUAAGCACACAUGUAAUUAAGAUUAAAGAUUUAUCGGUAAGCGAUGGGGAUGCGUUCCAUUAGGUAGUAGGCGGGGUAACGGCCCACCUAGCCGACGAUGGAUAGGGGUUCUGAGAGGAAGGUCCCCCACAUUGGAACUGAGACACGGUCCAAACUCCUACGGGAGGCAGCAGUGAGGAAUAUUGGUCAAUGGGCGCGAGCCUGAACCAGCCAAGUAGCGUGAAGGAUGAAGGUCCUAUGGAUUGUAAACUUCUUUUAUACGGGAAUAAAGUGGU